GACGAACGCUGGCGGCGUGCUUAACACAUGCAAGUCGAACGGAAAGGCCCUGCUUUUGUGGGGUGCUCGAGUGGCGAACGGGUGAGUAAUACGUGAGUAACCUGCCCUCGACUUUGGGAUAACUUCAGGAAACUGGGGCUAAUACCGGAUAGGAGCUCCUGCUGCAUGGUGGGGGUUGGAAAGUUUCGGCGGUUGGGGAUGGACUCGCGGCUUAUCAGCUUGUUGGUGGGGUAGUGGCUUACCAAGGCUUUGACGGGUAGCCGGCCUGAGAGGGUGACCGGCCACAUUGGGACUGAGAUACGGCCCAGACUCCUACGGGAGGCAGCAGUGGGGAAUAUUGCACAAUGGGCGGAAGCCUGAUGCAGCAACGCCGCGUGCGGGAUGACGGCCUUCGGGUUGUAAACCGCUUUCGCCUGUGACGAAGCGUGAGUGACGGUAAUGGGUAAAGAAGCACCGGCUAACUACGUG
rnacentral:rRNA from 1 species